AACGAACGCUGGCGGCAUGCCUAACACAUGCAAGUCGAACGAGACCUUCGGGUCUAGUGGCGCACGGGUGCGUAACGCGUGGGAACCUGCCCUUAGGUUCGGAAUAACUCCCCGAAAGGGGUGCUAAUACCGGAUAAUGUCUUCGGACCAAAGAUUUAUCGCCUUUGGAUGGGCCCGCGUUGGAUUAGCUAGUUGGUAGGGUAAAAGCCUACCAAGGCGACGAUCCAUAGCUGGUCUGAGAGGAUGAUCAGCCACACUGGGACUGAGACACGGCCCAGACUCCUACGGGAAGCAGCAGUGGGGAAUAUUGGACAAUGGGCGAAAGCCUGAUCCAGCAAGGCCGCGUGAGUGAUGAAGGCCUUAGGGUUGUAAAGCUCUUUUACCCGGGAUGAUAAUGACAGUACCGGGAGAAUAAGCGCCGGCUAACUCCGUG
rnacentral:rRNA from 1 species